rnacentral:rRNA from 1 species
GCCUAGCCGUAAACAUAAACAGCCCCAUACCACGCUGAUCGCCAGGGGACUACAAGCCCUAGCUUAAAACCCAAAGGACUUGGCGGUGCUUUAGACCCCCCUAGAGGAGCCUGUUCUAGAAUCGAUAAUCCCCGUUCCACCUCACCCUCUCUUGUUAGCCCCGCCUAUAUACCGCCGUCGUCAGCUUACCUUGUGAAAGUUAAAUAGUAAGCAAAAUUGGCAAAGCCCAAAACGUCAGGUCAAGGUGUAGCGUAUGAGGGGGAAAGCAAUGGGCUACAUUUACUGUGCCAGGUAAAUACGGAUCUUGCACUGAAAUAAGCAUCUGAAGGAGGAUUUAGCAGUAAGGGAGGGAACAUGAGAGCCCCCCUGAAAACGGCCCUGAAGCGCGCACACACCGCCCGUCACUCUCCCCAAAGGACUCCUACACAUAAAUAAUAAGUAUCCACCACAAAGGGGAGGCAAGUCGUAACAUGGUAAGUGUACCGGAAGGUGCGCUUGGAAAAACC